UAUUGGAAAAACGCUUUUGAUGAGACGAAGAAAAAACAAAAAUUGUGAUUACACAAAUUACAAUUACUAUUGGUACACCCAUCACACCUAUCAGCUAUAUAUACUAAACGGACAAUAAUCGGCCGUUUUAGAUAUUAGUUACGAAAAAACCGUACAGCUACAGAACGAUUCGGUCUUAAACUUCAAAACGAAAACAAUUUAUGGCCUCCACGCGAGUUAUCUGUGUGAGGUCCGGUUAUCUGCAACACGACGACGUCAAUUAAAUAUAAAAAUUAAAUAUAAAAAAAAAAAAAGUAUACAUACAUGUUAUGUAAUAAACAUAAACGGUAAAUCGGUUUUUAUGCCACGUUCUUCAACGAUAAAACAAAUAAUAUUCAAUUAUAAUUAAAAUAUUAUUUCAAUUAAUAUUUUAAUAAAUCGCGUUCGAUACCGCGAAUACGAAUGGUCUACUGCGAAAUCACUUUAACGGUUUUGACGGUUGGCAAAAUAAUUUUAAAAAAAGGUUUAUUUACCGCGAUAUAAAAGUACAAAAUUAUUAAUUUCGUCUAAAACUGACUUAAAUCGUCUUUUAAAACACACGUCUCGAAUAAAGUAGGUACGAAAAAAAAAACCACUAACUAAACUACCUGCUUUUAUAAAUC